UAUUGGACAAUGGGGGGAACCCUGAUCCAGCCAUGCCGCGUGUGUGAAGAAGGCCUUAUGGUUGUAAAGCACUUUAAGCGAGGAGGAGGCUCUUUUGGUUAAUACCCAAGAUGAGUGGACGUUACUCGCAGGAUAAGCCCCGGCUAACUCUGUGCCAGCAGCCGCGGUAAUACAGAGGGUGCAAGCGUUAAUCGGAUUUACUGGGCGUAAAGCGCGCGUAGGCGGCCAAUUAAGUCAAAUGUGAAGUCCCCGAGCUUAACUUGGGAAUUGCAUUCGAUACUGGUUGGCUAGAGUGUGGGAGAGGAUGGUAGAAUUCCAGGUGUAGCGGUGAAAUGCGUAGAGAUCUGGAGGAAUACCGAUGGCGAAGGCAGCCAUCUGGCCUAACACUGACGCUGAGGUGCGAAAGCAUGGGGAGCAAACAGG
rnacentral:rRNA from 1 species